rnacentral:snRNA from 1 species
GUGCUCACUUAGGCAGCACACGUACUAAAAUUGGAAUGAUACAGAGAAGAUUGAUAUGGCACCUGAACAUGGAUGACAUGUAAAUUUGUCAAGUAUUCCAUACAUUU